rnacentral:misc_RNA from 1 species
AAUUUGGGUUUUCUCAUCCAAUUCGAUCUAUAUUGUGAGUGCUGCUUUAAUGAUGUCUAGACCUAUGCUACUCGUCUUUCUAUUACUUGUACUCAUAAUCACCUCGCAGUUUGAGUGGAGACAACAACUUGUAAAUGACAUUGAUUCCACUCCUGUUGUCAACCAGAAGCAGCAACAGAUAUCAAAGAGGGAAGAAGCUGUAAAGGAGAAGAUUAUCUUAUCACAAGAGAAGAAUAUUUUUAGACUCAACGAACUUGUCCGGAGUCUUCGGCAGCAACUACUGCUGUGCAGGUGCAAUAAUGAGACCACAAAUGGCAUCUCUGGC